GCUUAAUGAUGAUAUCAAGGCGAAUGUGACCUCACUGGCAGGCUGCUCCCUCAAUCUGUUCCUCAUAUAAUGGUCUGUAAUCUUGGUGGUCAAUACAAAGUAAUGUGUGUUUGCUGUAAGGGCAGACCUACAGGAUGUUCCAUUCCUUCCUCCUUCCAUUUUGAAGGAAACAGCAUUCUUUUGCAAAGCAUCACAAGGAAUGCUAAAGGGAAUGGGGACAGGGCAAGCUUCGUGUGCCAGGGGUACAGGUUGCUGGGUGCUGCCAGAAUUUUGGCCGUUGGGGCACCAUGAGCACAAGUCUUUGGUAAUCUGAAAGCU